AAGAAAUCAAACAGUUCAUUAUUUGGACUCUCCCACGACAAGAUAUGAAUAUUUUGUUACAAGCUCGUAAAGCUUAAAAUUAUGUGACUAAGAUAAAAGUCAGACAAUGUAAAGCAAAAUAGAAGCUAAAAUAUUUAAGCCCUCGAAAUCUCCAAGAUGAAGUCUUCAAGUCUGUCGGUAUUCAAGUUGAAGUCUCCAUGUUAAAAUCUUCAACUCCGUCAUUCUUCAAAUUCGUCGAUCUUCAAGUUGAAAUAUUUAAGCCCUCCAAGUCUCAAAGUUGAAGUGUUCAAGUUCGUCGGUCUUCAAGUUUCAAUCUUCAAAUUCGCUAGUCUUAAAGUUGAAAUAUUUAAGCCCUCCAAGUUGAAGUUUUCAAGUCAUUCGGUCUUCAAGUUUCAGUCUUUAAAUUCCCUGAUCUUAAAGUUGAAUUGUUUAAGCCCUCCGAAUUUUCAAGUUGAAGUCUCUAAAGUCCGCCAAAUCUUCAAAGUUUUCCAAGUGUUCAAGUCGAUGUUGUCUUCGAGUUGAAUAUUUAUAACUUUCUAAUCUUAAGGUGGAUAUAUAAGUCCAUUUGCACCUUAAGUUGGCCUCUUCGUGGGUUUGUCGUGAAAAGGAACUAUAACUUUUCAAUAUUAAGGUGGACAUAUGAGCCCCUUUGCACCUUAAGUUGGCCUCUCCGAUAGUCGAGACAUAUUGAGAGUAAUCUCUCUGGUAGUCGGUCCAUUUUGAGAGUAGUCUAUCCAGUAAUCGGGCCACAUUGAGAGUAAUCUCUUCGGUAAUCAGGCCAUAUUAGAAGUAAUCUCUCUGGUAGUCAGGCCAUUUUGAGAGUAACUCUCCGAUAGUCGGGCCACAUUGAGAGUAAUCUCUCCGGUAGUCGGUCCUUAUUGAGUGUAAUCUAUCAGGUAGCCGGGACACAUUGAGAGUAAUCUCUCGUGUAAUCGGGCUACACUGAGAGUAAUCUCUUCGGUAGUCAGGCGAUUUUGAGAGUAAUCUCUCUGAUAGUUGGGUCACAUUGAGAGUAAUAUUUUCGAUAGUAGGGCCAUAUUGAGAGUAAUCUCUCUGAUAGUCAGGCCAUAUUGAGAGUAAUCUCUCCGCUAAUCGGGCCAUAUUGAGAGUAAUCUCUUCGGUAGUCGGGCCAUGAGAGUAAUCUCUCCGAUAUUCAGACAAGUAUGAGAACUCAUCCCCUCAUACCCUAUGACCACCUUCUUUAUGCGUAGAUCAUCUUAUUGAAUAAGAACAUAUCUUUCUCGCUUGAGCUACAAAAAAGAAAAAGGAAAACAAAACAAAAAAGGACAAGAAAAAAAUUACCGCGUUAAUGCUUCCGAGUUAAAAAAAUUAGACUCAAGUAGCUUGCGA
rnacentral:lncRNA from 1 species